rnacentral:rRNA from 1 species
AUUGAACGCUGGCGGCAUGCCUUACACAUGCAAGUCGAACGGCAGCACGGGAGCAAUCCUGGUGGCGAGUGGCGAACGGGUGAGUAAAGUAUCGGAACGUGCCCAGUCGUGGGGGAUAACGUAGCGAAAGUUACGCUAAUACCGCAUACGAUCUAUGGAUGAAAGCGGGGGAUCGCAAGACCUCGCGCGAUUGGAGCGGCCGAUAUCAGAUUAGGUAGUUGGUGGGGUAAAGGCUCACCAAGCCGACGAUCUGCAGCUGGUCUGAGAGGACGACCAGCCACGCUGGGACUGAGACACGGCCCAGACUCCUACGGGAGGCAGCAGUGGGGAAUUUUGGACAAUGGGCGCAAGCCUGAUCCAGCCAUGCCGCGUGCAGGAUGAAGGCCUUCGGGUUGUAAACUGCUUUUGUACGGAACGAAAAGGUUUGACUUAAUACGUUGGACUCAUGACGGUACCGUAAGAAUAAGCACCGGCUAACUACGUGCCAGCCGCCGCGGUAA